rnacentral:piRNA from 1 species
UUGGAGUGGCCCAGGAUUCAACCCUGC